AUCAAAUCCAAUCCAGCCCAUUAUCUAAAAUAGCUCCGACCUGGCCCAGUAACUAAGGCCUAACUAGACAUGCUUUCUCCCUUUUAUAUCGUUCAAACAUGACCAAAGAUGAUUGCUCCCCUUCUCAUUGUUACUUUUCUUUGACUGCCGACCAACGAUUAGACCACCAGAUAAUGAGAAAUUCCGGUGGUCACCACCUCUCAUCUCUUCUCCCAUCUCUGUUUCCCAUCGCCAUCAUCACUUUCCAUCCAUGUCAUUUCAACUUUUUUUUACAUAGGGGAGUUGUCAACAGGUCAAUUCGACCUCUGGAAAGGAGGAACAUGAGAAUUUAUUUUGGUUCGGUGUGCAAAAGAAUUGAUUUUCUUUGAAAAACUCAAACUGUCCUUUUACCUCCUUAACCUCAACUUGAAAAGGUAAAAAAGUCAGUCCUUUAUUUCUCCAAUUCCAUCCCUUUGUUUCUCACUAUGAUUUAGGGCUCUUUCAAGAAUUCAAAAUUUGAAUUCAUGAGAACCGUUACAACCCUCCCAAGUGCGGCUAUAAAAGGAGCCCUUUGGACUCCCAAUUGAAAGAGAGGAUUACCAAGAAAAUCUAUCAAAAAUUAUCAUUAAAAGAACAAUAUACCAUUACUCUAUUAUUCUCUCCCUCUUUCCAAGUUCGGUGCGAGUCCGAAUUCGAGUUUGAAUUCGCGUUUCGAUCUCCGAAGUGAAAGCCUCAGUUCGUUACCCCCUACAAGGUAAAUACGAGCACCAUUAAACAAAGGAAAUCAAUGCAAAAACACAUCAAAUAAGCCUUGAGGCAUCGACGCUGCAUCAACAAUUCAGACUUCUCUGAAUCACUGCAUCAAUAAUUGUUUCAAUCUAUUAAUUUCAUGGUCUGAUAAGACUCAUGAAGAUCAAAGAUGACAUCAACUUCUACGUUAGGUGAUUCCAGAAUCUUCAGCUGGUCAGUAGAGGUUGGUUAGAAUUUUUAUUAGCAUCAGAGUUGCCUAAGAGAAGCUUUAUACGCUGCAACUCAGGUUCUUAAACUAUAAAACCUUCCGAGUUAACUUCUUUGCGGUGAUUAAAUGUCAUAUUUGCGAAACAUUCCACUUGAAGAGAUUUUGGGAUAGGAACAUAAUCAUAGAAGGUUGCCACCUAAAACAUUAACAAUGAACAACUUUUCGACUUUAUUAAGAAUAAAAAUGAGUAAGACAUACGAAGUCCACUAAUUAACUUCACAAAAUGUUUUGUCUAACAAGAAAACAGUGAUGACCUCCUAUGCCUAAACAAUAAGCAUUAUACUAACAGAAAGUUGCAAUUUAGUCUGAGCAUUUUCUUGUCUCCGCCAAGAAAACCACAAAUAACUUUCACAAUAGAGAAAGAAAAGAGUCAAAUCACUAUGAACUUGAAUAUCCAUAUACAACAAAUUUAGGGAGCUUCUUAUUAAGAAAAUAGCAGAUGGAAUCAACUCGAAUGGAUCAAAAUACAUACCAGAUAUGCGAAGACGUUUGACAGAAUGAAGAGCAAAAAAACUCGUUUCUAAAGAUGAGGACGUUUGACAGAAUGAAGAGUGAAAGGACUAGGAAUAGAGAAUAACGGAAGUCAGGACGUGUAUAUAUCAAAAGAUAUUCCCUCAAUAGACUUGGAUAUUGAGCACAGGUUGGUGGGAAGGUCGCGCACCAAAUAAAUUCAGAUGCUGUUGUUAUGGUUUGCGUUUUAUGUUGUUGCUUGAUAGCUGACUUUAUUUACAUCAACAGGUGUUUACUGAUGGAUUAGUCAAUGAUAUUUUACUUUCGUUUCAGUUACUUGCUCUGUCGUUAACGUAUUAUUUUUGGGUCGCAACUGUCUUGUGGAGUGAAGCCACUGACUGCUCAAGUUAUAAGUUAUCAACUCUGUCAAGCUGAUGUUGGUAAUUGCUUCCUUAUACUGCUUAUGGUGUGCAACCCAAAUAUACUUGGUUCGUCUUCGUCGGUCAGUUGUUGGUGAAGAGGCUGAUCUCGGAGUUCUUGUGUUUAUUGGAAUAUAUUUUUUCCUCCCUCAUUGGCUGUGCAUUCAGUCCAUGAACACAAGAGAUCCCCAAGAACUUAUGCCCUUAUGUCUAAAUCACAGUGACUAGUGACACAGAAAAUCUCAAGACUCAAACUGAUUCAAGCCCUUGUCAGGAAUAUCUUUUUUUGAGGAAAAAAUAGUGUGAUAGAAAGGUGAUUUGACUGCUAUUAAAAAAAUUAACGGUGUUAGGGUUAUGACUAAAAAUGCAUCACUUUACUAAAUAAAAAGGACUAUUAGUGCUCUAGUUGAAAGAAUAUGUAUUAUUUUGUGUCUAAGGUAAAGAUAAUGUAUGAUUUUGGGCCUUUCCUCGAUAAUAUUUUGCCGGUAGCUUUUAUCAGGCACCAACCUCCUGAAGCAUUUUUGAAUCAGUGUACUUACUAUUUCCGUUAUUGAUUUUCUAUUUGACUGCAAAAUAUUAACGUGUUUAUCACAUAAUUCACUUUGUAUCUCUUGUAACAUCCAUUAUGUGUCUAAUCCUUAUCUUUUUCUUUGUUACAUGUACAUUUUGAAGCGCGCUUGGGGUCCAAUGACAUGACUCCAUCUCUGUCUAAAUCGGAGAAGCAAACAAUAAUUGCAUUACGUAUCUCCGUCUAGCAGUCUAGUUCCUCCUUCCCUCUUUUCAAGCUUUAUUCUUCUGUACACACUUCUUAUGAUUUUGUUUAACAUUUUGCAUAUUACUACUUAAAGUUUGUGUUUAUAUGUUUCUUAUUUGAA